UACAGAGGGGGCAAGCGUUGUUCGGAAUUACUGGGCGUAAAGGGCGCGUAGGCGGCCUGCUAAGUCGAACGUGAAAUCCCUGGGCUCAACCCAGGAACUGCGUCCGAUACUGGUUGGCUUGAAUCCGGGAGAGGGAUGUGGAAUUCCAGGUGUAGCGGUGAAAUGCGUAGAUAUCUGGAGGAACACCUGUGGCGAAGGCGGCCCCCUGGUUGGAUACUGACGCUGAUACGCGAAAGCCAGGGGAGCAAACGGG
rnacentral:rRNA from 1 species